rnacentral:rRNA from 1 species
CCUACGGGAGGCAGCAGUGAGGAAUAUUGGUCAAUGGACGAGAGUCUGAACCAGCCAAGUAGCGUGAAGGCUGACUGCCCUAUGGGUUGUAAACUUCUUUUAUAUGGGAAUAAAACGUUCCACGUGUGGGAUUUUGUAUGUACCAUAUGAAUAAGGAUCGGCUAACUCCGUGCCAGCAGCCGCGGUAAUACGGAGGAUCCGAGCGUUAUCCGGAUUUAUUGGGUUUAAAGGGAGCGUAGGUGGAUUGUUAAGUCAGUUGUGAAAGUUUGCUGCUCAACCGUAAAAUUGCAGUUGAAACUGGCAGUCUUGAGUACAGUAGAGGUGGGCGGAAUUCGUGGUGUAGCGGUGAAAUGCUUAGAUAUCACGAAGAACUCCGAUUGCGAAGGCAGUUCACUGGACUGCAACUGACACUGAGGCUCGAAAGUGUGGGUAUCAAACAGGAUUAGAUACCCGUGUAGUC